rnacentral:misc_RNA from 1 species
GCAAACUUGGUCAUUUAGAGGAAGUAAAAGUCGUAACAAGGUCUCCGUUGGUGAACCAGCGGAGGGAUCAUUAACAUCGUUCCGCGGCGCGCCAGGGCCGUUAGGGGGUUCAAAGCAAACCCCCUAACGGCCUCGGGCGACCGCCGCUGGAAAAUCAAACCCCUGUGAACAAUACCCCUCGUCAGGUUGCCUCGGCGGCGUGCUGCAGCUCGUUCGCCGGUGGGCGCCACCCCCUAAAUAAACUCCCAAAGGUCCCCCUGAGAGAACCUCUGAUUAAACUGCAAAACAAAAAAAUGCAAAACAAAACUUUCAACAACGGAUCUCUUGGCUCCAGCAUCGAUGAAGAACGCAGC